UGUAUAUUAUUCCUUGAUCACUUUAUACGACCAAUUUUAAAAGAAUAUAAAAAAAAGAAGUUUUUUUAAAAAUGUAUGCGAUCGAAAAAUCUCCAGCCAUUCGACUUCUUACACUUGUUAAUAUCGAUUACGUUUCUGGGUUGUUAAAGAACUGUUUUUUCGAUAAUCGAUUGCAACACGGCGCUCAUUUAGUGUCAAAAAGUUCCCGGGGUAACAAGUAGAAAGUGAAUUAAGUGAAAUAAUUGAAGAAUAAUGUGAGAGUACAAAUCUUAAAAUAAAGUAUAUAUGUAUAUACAUAGAUAAUAAGUCGGUGGCUUCUGCACGUGUUUGCAUUCACGCACAUGCAUUGCGUAUGCAUGUUACUUCUAAAUGAAAUAAAUCUUUAAAUUAAUAAGUAAUAUUUACAGUUAAAAAUCGACUUCUGCGAAAUAUACCCAGAGAAAGAGCAUGCAUUGGUUUUGAAAUAGGACGACCUGAAGCCUUUACGAUAGGAAGAUUAAAAACGAUCUCAGCAGGCAACAGCUUACCGAAGCACAGUCGGCAAUAAAUUAAGAUGCCCAGGACUCUAUUUGUUAUUUUGCUUGACACCGCGUUUCGUUAAAUAUGUUUAGCUGUAAGAACUUUAA